UGACCUCAAAUCAGGUAGGACUACCCGCUGAACUUAAGCAUAUCAAUAAGCGGAGGAAAAGAAACUAACAAGGAUUCCCCUAGUAACUGCGAGUGAAGCGGGAAAAGCUCAAAUUUAAAAUCUGGCAGAUUUUUGUCUGUCCGAGUUGUAACCUAGAGAAGUGUAACCUGUGCUGGACCGUGUACAA
rnacentral:rRNA from 1 species